UGACUGGGGGCAGGGAGUAUGAAUGACAGGAGAUAGAGGGGAUCUCCAGGAGCACAACCCUCUGAGACGCCCGACAAGCGCGGCAGGUGUCACCGCGCUCCUCCUUCCGCCCCCAAACCACUUGUGGUGCGCGUGGGACCACGGGGCGCUCAGAUCCUCCGGUGGCUCUGGUCACUCUGCGCCCCACACCAAAUGGAUAAAGCCUUGCUUGCCCUAAAUGAGAAGUGCCCCCCCCCACCUCCUGCACACCUCACUGAGUUGUGCCCGGUUGGUUCCACAAGUAGGAUUUAAAGAGACACCUCGUUAUUUCGCCACUGUCCUAGAAAUAAGAAAUACAAAACCGGAAGACAAAAAUAAUCUCCACCCUGGAAGGGUUCUGUUUUUGCAAGCAUAGCGCGCUGAAAUGCUGAAAAGUCCGUACCUCAAGUCCUGAAGGUUGGGAACUAACCCAGCGGGUGACAGUGUGCUGCUCCAGGUACCCAGGUCGUCUCCCAGCGGCGCCUCGGAGCGUUACUUGGGCACAGUCCACAGAAAAAGAGAAGGGAGAAAGGCCGACACACCUCUGGCCACAGCACUAACAACUGUGGCGAAUCCGGAGCUUUCCGCAGGACAGAGGAGAGAGAGCUGCGGCAGACAGCAGCUUUGGGGCUAGGACUUUGCCUUUUCCAGCGGCCGGCACAGACUCGGUUGCCCCUUGGAUUCUUCGCAAGAAAUCUGUGUUUUAAUCCUCGCCCCGAAUGAAGUCUCACCAAGAGCUUGCCGGCUCUAGAACGAGGGUUGUUUUGCAGGCAAGUUCCUGGGCUUCGCUCCAAAGCUGCCUCGGGAUGUUUUGGUUGGUUUAGAGGAAAGCUGCGGCCUCUCCUACCCAGUUCUUAACCAGACAGCCCCCUGGCGGCAGCGAGGAAAAGCCUGGCUGGGCCCAGGUUUCAUGGGGGGGCCAAGCCUUGGGAUCAGCUCUGUAAUAAGGGUAGCACGGGGAAUUCAAGAGGCCCUGAGAAGCCUGGAGUCCCAGGACGUCUUACUUCUUUUCCUACACAUGUCUCUGAGCCAUGUUUUUGCUUAAAUUCUCUCUCAAGAAAGACACACACUAAAAGUGAAAUCUAACAGCCGCAAAAGGUUACUUUUCUUUGUUUAGAUGGUUUUGUCUGAUUUCAUUUUGCCUGGAAAGUUCUGAAAUAAGAAUCAAAGUAUUUAAAGUCUCGCGACACGACAGUGUUACAGGACUGGCUGUAACCGUGUUAUGUAAUCAGAGCGCUCCAACAAGGAAAUCUGGUAGGAUUCCAUUGGGACGGGUAUUGAGAGCUGAACCAGGCAGGUGGUGGUAAGGGGUUGCCAUAAGAGUCUGUUACAGGACUCGGUGUCAUGGGAAUUCUCAGAGCCAUGGGAACUCUCAGGAAGGCAAAGAGAUAUUCUAACCUGGGAGCACAGGGUCCCCAGGUCCCGUCUAUGCUGACUUGUGUUGCACAGGUGCUAUUUCCAGAACCUAGGAUUACAGUUCACCUGCACCACCCUCCUGACCAAUCUAUGGAUUUCAAGCUGAUGAUUCCAGUCAAGGAAGCAAGCCAUCUGUUUCUUUCGGGCAGAACUACUGGGCGAGAAAGAGGCUGAAACACACAGCCCAACAGGAGUGGGCUUGGGUCACAGUGCACCCAGCCAUGCAUCUUCAUUUAAUAUGGUAAAAUGUGGUGUGUUGUGAACACUUAUGCACUCUUGUUGAAUUUUAGAACAUUCUCUCUUAACUCCCGCCUUUGUGAACACUGCUUACAUUUUUAGAUCGAUGUGAAUGUCUUACUCACCUAACUAAGGGUUUUUUUUUUUUCCUGCCUACUGUGCCUAUGAAUCAGAAUCCAGUUGGAGAAAUAAAGCUCAAAUUAGAACUGAA